AACGAACGCUGGCGGCAUGCCUAACACAUGCAAGUCGAACGAGACCUUCGGGUCUAGUGGCGCACGGGUGCGUAACGCGUGGGAACCUGCCCUUAGGUUCGGAAUAACUCCCCGAAAGGGGUGCUAAUACCGGAUAAUGUCUUCGGACCAAAGAUUUAUCGCCUUUGGAUGGGCCCGCGUUGGAUUAACUAGUUGGUAGGGUAAAAGCCUACCAAGGCGACGAUCCAUAGCUGGUCUGAGAGGAUGAUCAGCCACACUGGGACUGAGACACGGCCCAGACUCCUACGGGAGGCAGCAGUGGGGAAUAUUGGACGAUGGGCGAAAGCCUGAUCCAGCAAUGCCGCGUGAGUGAUGAAGGCCUUAGGGUUGUAAAGCUCUUUUACCCGGGAUGAUAAUGACAGUACCGGGAGAAUAAGCUCCGGCUAACUCCGUG
rnacentral:rRNA from 1 species